rnacentral:rRNA from 1 species
AACGGGGAGCAGAUUGCUGCUUCGCUGACGAGUGGCGGACGGGUGAGUAAUGUCUGGGAAACUGCCUGAUGGAGGGGGAUAACUACUGGAAACGGUGGCUAAUACCGCAUAACGUCGCAAGACCAAAGAGGGGGACCUUCGGGCCUCUUGCCAUCAGAUGUGCCCAGAUGGGAUUAGCUUGUUGGUGAGGUAACGGCUCACCAAGGCGACGAUCCCUAGCUGGUCUGAGAGGAUGACCAGCCACACUGGAACUGAGACACGGUCCAGACUCCUACGGGAGGCAGCAGUGGGGAAUAUUGCACAAUGGGCGCAAGCCUGAUGCAGCCAUGCCGCGUGUAUGAAGAAGGCCUUCGGGUUGUAAAGUACUUUCAGCGGGGAGGAAGGUGUUGUGGUUAAUAACCGCAGCAAUUGACGUUACCCGCAGAAGAAGCACCGGCUAACUCCGUGCCAGCAGCCGCGGUAAUACGGAGGGUGCAAGCGUUAAUCGGAAUUACUGGGCGUAAAGCGCACGCAGGCGGUCUGUCAAGUCGGAUGUGAAAUCCCCGGGCUCAACCUGGGAACUGCAUUCGAAACUGGCAGGCUUGAGUCUUGUAGAGGGGGG